AUUGAACGCUGGCCGCAGGCCUAACACAUGCAAGUCGAGCGGAUGAAGGGAGCUUGCUCCUGGAUUCAGCGGCGGACGGGUGAGUAAUGCCUAGGAAUCUGCCUGGUAGUGGGGGAUAACGUCCGUAAACGGGCGCUAAUACCGCAUACGUCCUGAUGUAGAAAGUGGGGGAUCUUCGGACCUCACGCUAUCUGAUGAGCCUAGGUCGGAUUAGCUAGUUGGUGGGGUAAAGGCCUACCAAGGCGACGAUCCGUAACUGGUCUGAGAGGAUGAUCAGUCACACUGGAACUGAGACACGGUCCAGACUCCUACGGGAGGCAGCAGUGGGGAAUAUUGGACAAUGGGCGAAAGCCUGAUCGAGCCAUGCCGCGUGUGUGAAGAAGGUCUUCGGAUUGUAAAGCACUUUAAGUUGGGAGGAAGGGCAGUAAGUUAAUCCAUUGCUGUUUUGACGUUACCAACAGAAUAAGCACCGGCUAACUUCGUG
rnacentral:rRNA from 1 species